GUUUCCAUAGUGUAGUGGUUAUCAUGUUCGCUUUACACACGAAAGGUCCCUGGUUUGAAACCAGGUGGGAACA